rfam:Schistosoma mansoni, Puerto Rico, WGS project CABG01000000 data, contig: 0032
AUCCAGCUGAGGAGUCCCAAAUAGGACGAACCGCGCGUCCUGGAU